rnacentral:rRNA from 1 species
CCUACGGGUGGCAGCAGUGGGGAAUAUUGCGCAAUGGGCGAAAGCCUGACGCAGCGACGCCGCGUGAGGGAUGAAGGUCUUCGGAUCGUAAACCUCUGUCAGCAGGGAAGAACGGUCACUGUGCUAAUCAGCAGUGAAUUGACGGUACCUGCAAAGGAAGCACCGGCUAACUCCGUGCCAGCAGCCGCGGUAAUACGGAGGGUGCGAGCGUUAAUCGGAAUUACUGGGCGUAAAGCGCUCGUAGGCGGUAUGUCAAGGCAAGGGGGAAAUCCCCGCGCUCAACGUGGGAACUGCAUUUGAAACUGGCAAACUGGAGUGUGUGAGAGGAUAGUGGAAGUCCAGGUGUAGGGGUGAAAUCCGUAGAUAUCUGGAGGAACAUCAGUGGCGAAGGCGACUAUCUGGCACAUAACUGACGCUGAGGAGCGAAAGCGUGGGUAGCAAACAGGAUUAGAUACCCGUGUAGUC